GAUGAACGCUGGCGGCGUGCUUAACACAUGCAAGUCGAGCGAACAGAUGAGGAUCUUGUUGCUCUCUCGUUAGUGGCGCACGGGAGAGUAACACGUGGAUAACCUCCCUAUCUGACUGGGAUAACUUAGGGACACCGGAGCUAAUACCGGAUAAUAUAUUGCACCGCAUGGUUCACUAGUGAAAGACGGUUUUGCUGUCACUUAUAGAUGGUUCCGCGCCGCUUUAGAUUGUUGGUUCGGUAACGGCUUACCAGGUCAAUGAGGCGUAGCCGACCUGCGAGAUGGAUAGGCGACACUGGAACUGGGACACGAGCCAGACUCCUACGGGAGGCAGCAGUAGGGAAUCGUCGGCAGAAGGCGAGAGCCUUGCGCAGCAACGCGGCGUAGGUUGUGAAGGUCUUGGGAUCGGGAAGCAGUGUUAUUAGGGGUGAACAAAUUUUUAAGUAGCUGAACACGUCUUGACGGUACCUGAUCAAAAAGCCACGGCUAACUACGUG
rnacentral:rRNA from 1 species